rnacentral:rRNA from 1 species
UACGAAGGGGGCUAGCGUUGCUCGGAAUCACUGGGCGUAAAGCGCACGUAGGCGGAUUGCUAAGUCAGGGGUGAAAUCCUGGAGCUCAACUCCAGAACUGCCCUUGAUACUGGCGACCUUGAGUCCGGGAGAGGUGAGUGGAACUGCGAGUGUAGAGGUGAAAUUCGUAGAUAUUCGCAGGAACAUCCGAGGCGAAGGCGGCUCGCUGGAUCACAACUGACGCUGAGGGACGAAAGCUAGGGGAGCAAACAGG